UUAGACUGAAAAUGAUCUCAGAUGUAUCAGUGAUCUGUGGUCAGAUAACUGAGCCUAAAGUACUGUGGUACGUUAAGCUUAUCACCUGCUCUCUAAUUUGCAGAGUGAUAAAACCCAUGUGCCAACAAAA
ensembl:snoRNA